AUUAGCUCCUACUUCCUCUGGAGUCGUUGAGUACAACACGUUCUCACUCCCAACUCGUCACAUAUUGAAGCUUGGUCAGGAUCCCUUUGUCGUCAUGUUUUAACUCACUGGGUACCCCUUUGUCGUCAUGUUUUAACUUGCAGGGAUUCCCAUAGACUUCUGACCGGAACCGGCGGCGUUGACAUUUGACCUGCAGGAGCUGACCGCAGUGUGUACGGGACUCGAGACUAUGAUAAAUAGGAAUAAAAAAGAAAAGGCUGCAAUAAAUUAGUUAUGGCAGGGCGAUUCGAUUGGCGUCCCCCAGGUCAUAUUUAACUGAUUUUUUAUUUUAAAAACCACUGGUUUGCUGAUAUCAAAGUGCGUCUGUGAAACAGGUUCAGCGGUGACUUUAACAGCGCUCCAGCGAGCAACAGCAGUAGUGUAUUCCUCGUAAUGCUGCUGUUUUUGUCGAGGCUUGUUGAUGAUGAUAAACGUAUUUAAUGUGGUGUGAUUAUGUUUGGUUAAUCAGUGAUUAAUCAGCGCAAUGCGAUGCAAUCAACCUAUUAUUUAUUUAUCUAUUUAUUUAUUUAUGUGUUUGUUUGUUUGAUUGAUUAUUUAUUAUCUUUAUUUAUUUAUUAAUAAGUCAAUCAAUCAGUGAUGCUGACGUCAUUGUAAGGCGCGAUCCCAAGGUCCACUGCGAUUUCCCGCUUGGUAAGUAGACCAGUUAAUUAAUACAGAUGGGAACACUCCUUAAAUUUAUGGUACAAAAACUGUAUAACCAGGUCAAAAAGUUGUGUUUAGACCCUUAAGAAUUGCAAGGUAGCAGUUUCGUGAUGCAGUUAUUAUAAAAAUAUAACGUGCUGCACCAAAUGUGUAGUCGGCUAGCUUAAGUUAGCUAAUUAAAUUCAAGCUUGUUUAUUUUUUUUCACAUAUAAUCAUGCAGGAUAAUAUCAUAGGAGAUUGUAUGAUUUGUAAUUAUGAUGUGUGUUCAGUUACCCAUAUUACAGUAAGUUAGCUCGAUCACAACACUAUAGCCAUUUAUAAAUGUUCAGAUGAAGAACAGUGUUGCCAGAUUGGUGUGUUUUCCAGUAAUUGAUCAAAAUCCACACAAAAUUAUAUAGUAAACACACAAAUCUUACCAAUAAUAAACUAUACAAAUUAAUUCAUAACUACAACAAUAACAUUUGCUCAUCAAAUGGCAUAAUAAAGCAAAUUAAGCGUUCUCUCAUUUUCCAUGUCUGUCAUUUGCCUUAAAGAAAUAAAAGAGUACAACAGAAAUAUCAAAAUGCCACCUGUCCAAGCCCAUUUUAUUCCACGUAGUACAACUCAAAACUGCCCAAUCUGCCAACACUGACGAAGAAAAUACUGGUAAAAAUGUAAGGAGUUCAAUAUUUUUUUUCCUGUCUUAUCAGGUCCUUCAAAUUUGCCAGCUUCCAACAUUCUCCUUUAUUUUAACCUCCCUCCACACACACACACACACACACACACACAAACCAAAGGCACUUUUAAGAGCCACGUCUGUCUUGUUAACCUGUACUUGUUUCUCUGUAGCUCGCUCUGUCUCUUUCUCUCUCUCUCUCUCUGUUUACAUAUCUAGUUGUCGUAUCUGUCCUUCUUUGUUGUGAGUCUUUCUGUCUGUUUGUGUUUCUGCCCAUCACCAUGAGUGAUUCAGAACUCCAAGAACAGUUUAUGAAGCUGGAUAAACUGGUUGAUCAUCAAGAACUCAAUGAUGAACUCCAAAGUCUUGAUGACUUGCUUGGUGAGCUGCAGGAAGAGGAGGAAGCAGCACCAGUAAAGACACCUGAACCAAGGGUGCAUUGGAGAAAGAGAGACAUUGAUGGAAACAUUGUCUAUGCAAGGCCAAGAUCAAACAGGAAUCAGUCAAAUAAGGCUGAUCACAUUCAGAAAACUGAUCCUCCCAUCAAUGCUCCUGACACUAACUGUGAGGUGACCUUUGCUCCAGAGACUGUUGAGUGUUUUCUGCGAGAUCUCCAGCACUCACUGAGCGAUACCUCAGAUGAUGAGGCAUCACCUCUUGGAACCUCAGAGAUCCUCUCCCAGCUUCCUCGAGCUGGAGCACACGACAAAGUCUCUUCUCAGAGAGGUGGAGGGCAGAGAGACCCCGUCUGGUGAACACCGCUGCGGCGCAAGGAAAUGUGGCAACACGCAUCUGCCAACAGUGUGGGAGCAAUCCAGCUGCUGUCCGGUGUGGUGACUGUCGACCACUCUCCUUCUUCUGUGCUGAAUGUGAUGUCAGCAUGCACACCAGACAUGUUCUCCAUAACCGAGAUGCCAUGACCCCUGGGUUCUACCAGCCACUGCCUCCAACAACUUUUGUCGUAGAUAAGGCUCUUUCCCAUUGUGGCAAGUUCUGGUUUUACGGCUUGUACCUGUGGAGAUUCCUGACAAAAUGUGUGGUUGUUCAUCAGAGUCAUUGAGGGUCAGCCCAGGGAAGACUGUUGCUGUGAUCACAAUGAAUGGACGAUAUGAUCUAAGCAUGCCUGAGCUGAGUUGGGCUGUUGGAGUGGUCGACCUAAAUCGAAGUGACUACUGGUCUGCGACCCUUCACUUUGCCACAAUUUAUGCCACAGAUGUCUUUUUCUCAUUUGAAGAAAUGAAGAUGGCAGCACCAGGACUGUCCUGCCAAGCAUUUGUAAGGAUGCUGGAUCAGCGAACUGUCCGCUUUGGUCGUACUGGCAAGAUCUCCACAGACAGUUUUCAGAAAAGUUUUUUUUGAGUGGGAGGCUGUGCGAUAUGAGGUGGACAAAAUCUGCAAAGAAGAGCCCUUCAUCUGUCCUGCGUGCACCCCAGAUAUGCUGGCAGUGUCAGUAGAUGGAAACCGCAAGCAUUACCGUUUCAAGAAUGCAGCUAGAUCUGAAGAACAGGCCAUCUUUGAAGAUGUCUUUAUAGCUAAGGAUGAAGAUGUGACAAGAUUUGUGGACUACAUUCACAAGACAUCCAAACAUGUCAGUGGAAGAGGUGUUUGCGGAAGGGAGCGGUCAGCAGCCAGAGAGACCUCCCAAAGAUCAGCAAGCAAGGUAGACGAGGAGGGAUUGGAGCUUGCGGUGUGUCGACACGGAGUGCUGCUCUGUGCUUUAAAUAUGUACAGGGGUGAAAUUUUUGCCUAUCCCCUGGACCUGCAAGAAAAGCUGGCCAGUAGGCAAAUCACUUUUUUUUUGUAUGGAUGUGACCUGCAAAUAUUGGCCCAACCUCCAAAGAGUUGCAAAAAGCUGCCCAGAGCUCCAGCACCUUCUUAACAUGAAGCCCUUCCUUUCAGUAUUCCAUGCCAAAGCCCAUGAUUUUAAAUGCGAGGUGAAAUGGAGUGGGGCAUAUCAGGAUGGGGCUGGUUUAACACUAGGGGAGGAGGUGGAACAGUGCAAUGCUUUCCUGUCUGGCAAAGCCAGUUGCAAAACCUAGAGUCUAUGAAAGUCGACCUGGCAGUGACAGAGAGCCACUGGAAGACUGGCUCAAUGAUGUAAAGGAGUGGGCAAAGGAUGAGGAAAUGACUAGUGUAUAUCAACAACAACAACCACAAAUGAUGUUGAUGCUGGUGGCGAGUAUCAAGAGACGUUCCCAGCGACUCUAUAAGGAUACAGAUGGCAACAAAGGUCGUGCCAGGAUCCGCCGCAAGAUCAGGGAGGAGAAGGGGAUCCUGACAUCAGUUGUAGAGAAAUACAACAGAAUGGUUCCAAACACUGAAACUCUGUGCUUGGAAACCAUUUUGUCUGGUGAGACAGCUUGGCCAUGGCAGCUAUCACACAGUGACUCUGUCGAUCUAAGAACAAAGAGAAAGGCAUUCGACACCAUCAUGUCAUUAAGGAGACUUCAGGAGGAGCAGAAGAUUCUUGUUGCAGAGAUGGACAACCAUUGGAAAUAUCUUUCAACUUUUAAUCCAACUAUGAUUUUUCUGAAAGACUAACAUUUUUGUGUUAGUAUUAGGGGGCAGCCCUAUUAAACAUACACAACAAUGAUGACUUUAUAAAGUUUCUAAGGGAGGCUUAAUGCUUAAUGUCAUUCUUUUAAGAUUCGCAAUGUGGCCUAAGUGAAGAGGGUUUGAAAGGUCUGCAGAGCAUCAUCCACAGAAAGCAACGUACAGUCAGAGAAAUGAGGGUGCAAGCAAGAGACUGUUACCUGCAAGUUUUGUCUGGAGCUGAGAACAACCUCUUAAACAAACUGUCAGCUGAUGACUAUGACAGUGACUUCGAAAUUUCUGAUGACGAACUAUAAUCCACAAGACUGUGACACCUUUUUUUUUUUCUUGACAGUGACCUUGACCUUAACCCUGAAUCUAAAGCAUGUAAUAAAAUCUGCU